GAGGACUGGACCAUUGCAUAUUUGAAGUCUGUUUUUGAAAGUCACAGGCUACGGAAGCCGACAGAGGACUUCAUAUAAUCUUUUUUAAUUCACCUUGUUAUCCCUAGAUAAUGACAUAAUUAAUUAGAGAUCUCGAGAAAACAACACUUUUA